UCAAUCAUAAUAUUGGUAUACAUAUUGUCGUAUUUCCAUUAUUUCCUAUUAAAUUACUUGGAAAAAUCUUCUUCUAAAAUCUUAUAGAAACCAAACCAAGUCCAUUUAUGCAACUGGUCUUUAACAAUAUAUUCAAGCCCAUAUGUUUAUGGCACUCUUCUUCACGAGUCUCUCUCUUUGUCUCCUGUUUCCUGCGCCCGCCCUUCACGGCUACGAUUGAAUCUUUUCUCAACAAGAAUAUAUAUGUAUAUAUCACCUAGCUAGCUAGCUAGCUGGCUCCAUGAUUUUCAUUUCUUGAUACAUCAUUCUAUUCUCUGUGAUCGUUUGGAUUUGACAAACUUUACAUGGAGCAAUACUUGAAAGAAAACUUUGUAGUUGAUGCAAAGAGACCCUCCGAACAAGCUUUAAGAAGAUGGAGAUCUGCAGUUUCAGUCGUCAGGAAUCCUCGCCGGAGGUUUCGAAUGGUUGCUGAUCUUGCCAAAAGAGCAGAAGCUGAAAGGAAACGUAAGAAUCUCCAGGAAAAGAUACGGAUAGCUCUUUAUGUCAACAAGGCAGCAUUGCAUUUCAUCGAGGCUGCUAAUCUAGCUGAGCACAAGCUCUCAGACAAUGUCAGGCAAAAUGGUUUUGGCAUUGGACCGGAUGAACUAGCAGCGCUCGCUCGGUCCCAUGAUAUCAAUGACUUGGAAUCUCAUGGAGGAGUUGAGGGAUUGGCCAGAGAAGUAUCUGUUUCCUUGAAUGAUGGGGUUGUCUCAAGUGAUAUAUCUAUUAGGCAAAAUAUAUACGGCUUUAACCGAUAUUCUGAGAAACCUGCCAGAUCUUUUUGGAUGUUUGUAUGGGAUGCUUUGCAUGAUUUGACGUUAGUUAUUCUGAUGGUGUGUGCCGUGGUCUCCAUUGGUGUUGGUAUUGCAACUGAAGGUUGGCCGAAUGGAAUGUAUGAUGGGGUGGGAAUAGUAAUAUGCAUUUUGCUAGUAGUGAUGGUCACUGCAAUCACUGACUACAAGCAGGCCUUGCAAUUCAAGGUCCUGGACAAGGAGAAGAAGAAUGUUAUUGUUCAGGUUACCAGAGAAGGGAGCAGACAGAAGGUUUCUAUCUUCGAUUUGGUGGUUGGAGAUGUUGUUCAUCUAUCAAUUGGAGAUCGGGUUCCUGCAGAUGGCAUUCUUAUAUCAGGCCACAGCUUAUCAGUUGAUGAAUCCAGCUUGUCAGGAGAGAGUGAGCCAGUGGACAUAAAUAAAAAGAGGCCCUUUCUUCUAUCAGGUACCAAAAUACAGGAUGGGUCUGGUAAAAUGCUGGUGACAGCAGUCGGUAUGAGGACUGAAUGGGGCACGUUGAUGGUUCAUCUGAGCGAAGUGGAUCAAGAUGAGACACCAUUACAGGUGAAGCUUAAUGGAGUUGCAACUGUUAUUGGAAAAAUUGGUUUGGCUUUUGCUGUGAUAACUUUUUUAGUUCUGCUGGCACGGUUUCUAUUGGUGAAGGCAGACCACCAUGAGAUCACAAAAUGGUCUAGUAGUGAUGCUUUGAAGCUUCUAAAUUUCUUUUCCAUUUCUGUAACCAUAAUUGUUGUUGCAGUUCCUGAAGGGCUUCCAUUAGCAGUGACACUUAGUCUUGCAUUUGCAAUGAAGAAACUAAUGCACGAUAGAGCACUGGUGAGGCAUCUUUCCGCAUGUGAAACAAUGGGUUCUGUUUGUUGCAUUUGCACAGAUAAAACUGGAACAUUGACUACAAAUCAUAUGGUGGUGAACAAAAUAUGGAUCUGUGAAGAAACAAAAUCAAUACAAACUAAUAGCAAUAAAGAUUUAUUAAUGUCCUCUUUCUCAGAAAACGUGCAUGGAAUCCUUUUGCAAUCUAUAUUUCAGAACACAGGAUCAGAGGUAACCAAGGGAAAAGAUGGAAGGGAUUACAUUUUGGGGACGCCGACGGAGACAGCAAUUUUAGAGUUUGGAUUAAUUUUAGGAGGCGAGUUUAAAACACAUCAUAACGAAUCUGAGAUAGUGAAAGUUGAGCCUUUCAAUUCAGAAAAGAAGAAGAUGUCUGUGCUUGUUUCUCUUCCUAACAACGGUGGGUUUCGAGCUUUCUGCAAAGGUGCAUCAGAAAUAAUUUUGAAAAUGUGUGACAAGAUGUUAACUGCUGAUGGAAAAGCUGUGCCGCUAUCUGAAAAGCAAAGACAGAAAAUCACAGAUGUCAUAAAUAGUUUUGCCUGUGAAGCUCUACGAACUCUAUGCUUGGCUUUCAAGGAUAUGGAGACCACUUCUGGUGCAAAUAACAUGCCUGACAAUAACUAUACAUUAAUCGCUGUCGUUGGAAUUAAGGAUCCUAUACGCCCUGAGGUGAAGGAAGCUGUUAAGACUUGUUUAGAUGCUGGAAUUACUGUGCGUAUGGUCACUGGUGACAAUAUCAACACUGCAAAAGCAAUAGCUAGGGAAUGUGGCAUCUUGACAGAUUAUGGCCUGGUAAUUGAAGGGGCAGAUUUCCGUUGUAAGAGUCCUCAGGAGUUGGAGGAGAUAAUACCAAAUCUUCAGGUUAUGGCCCGAUCAUCACCUUCGGACAAGCAUAAAUUGGUGACUCAAUUGAGGAGUGUAUUUAAGGAAGUUGUGGCAGUGACUGGAGAUGGUAGUAAUGAUGCUCCAGCCUUGGCCGAGGCAGAUAUCGGACUUGCUAUGGGCAUAGCAGGAACAGAGGUUGCAAAAGAAAGUGCUGAUGUUAUUGUAAUGGAUGACAGCUUUAAAACUAUAGUGAAUGUUGCAAGAUGGGGUCGAUCAGUAUAUAUUAACAUUCAGAAGUUUGUUCAGUUCCAGUUAACAGCUAAUGUUGCUGCUCUCAUGAUAAAUUUCAUUUCUGCGUGCAUCUCGGGCGGCGAGCCAUUGACCACUGUUCAGCUGCUUUGGGUGAACUUAAUCAUGGACACUCUUGGUGCAUUAGCAUUGGCUACAGAACCACCUCAUGAUGGACUGAUGAAAAGACCUCCAAUCGGAAGGAAUGUAAGCAUAAUCACCAAGACCAUGUGGAGGAAUAUCAUUGGACAAAGCAUCUAUCAAAUAAGUGUCCUUGUCAUCCUCCAGCUUGAUGGGAAACAUCUACUGAAGCUUUCUGAUUCAGAUGAUACUAAAAUCCUGAAUACUUUCAUAUUUAAUACCUUUGUGCUUUGCCAGGUGUUCAAUGAAAUAAACAGCCGAGAUAUGGAGAAGAUAAAUGUGUUCAAAGGCAUCUUUAGUAGCUGGAUUUUCUUGGCUGUCAUGUUCUCCACAGUUACUUUCCAGAUUGUAAUAGUUGAAUUCUUGGGCACAUAUGCUAAUAUUGUGCCACUAAGGUGGGAAUUAUGGUUGGCCAGUGUCUUAAUCGGAGCUGCAAGUUUAGUCAUCUCUGUCAUCCUGAAGUGCAUUCCUGUUGGAACAAACAAAGAUGACAACACUGCCAAGCAUCACGACGGUUAUGAGCCUCUUCCUAGUGGUCCAGAUAUGGCCUGAGAAUAUAUGAUGGAUAAACUCAUGAAGAAAGCAGAAUUCUGUAGGCAGCAUGAAAUGAAAUCAGCAGCCAAAACCAAGCUGUAUAUAAUAUUGAUGAUGCUUGGUCUUAUUUGCACUUUGCAGUUUGCUUAGAUUGCCUGCUGAAGUCAUGGCAGAUACGGCAAAAAAUUGUAUGUUUGUAGGAAACUUGAGGAAUUUGUUUACAAACACUGCAAGUUUGAUUCAUGAAAAGAUCAUUGUGAGUUUCAUUUUAUCAAAAUUGUGUCAUUUAUAGACGGAUGAGAAAACAACAAAUCUGCAAUACAAAAACUGAAGGAUUUGAACCCUUUAUUAUUA